CCUACGGGAGGCAGCAGUGGGGAAUAUUGCACAAUGGGGGAAACCCUGAUGCAGCGACGCCGCGUGAGUGAAGAAGUAAUUCUUUACGUAAAGCUCUAUCAGCAGGGAAGAAAAUGACGGUACCUGAGUAAGAAGCCCCGGCUAACUACGUGCCAGCAGCCGCGGUAAUACGUAGGGGGCAAGCGUUAUCCGGAUUUUCUGGGCGUUAAGGGAGCGUAGACGGUUCGCCAAGUCUGGAGGGAAAUGCCGCAGCUGAACUUCGGACAUGCGUUGGAAACUGGCUAACUAGAGUGCGUGAGGGGUAAGCGGAAUUCCUGGUGUAGCGGUGAAAGGCGUAGAUAUUAGGAGGAACACCGGUGGCGAAGGCGGCUUACUGGACCGUAACUGACGUUGAGGCUCGAAAGCGUGGGGAGCAAACAGGAUUAGAUACCCUAGUAGUC
rnacentral:rRNA from 1 species